CUCUUAUUGGUUAAUGAAUAAAGCACUGUUCAGCCAAUGAGGCAGAAAGAUAGGUGGGACUAGGAGUCGAGGAGGAUUCUGGGAAAUGUAGUAAAAAGUCUUGUGAUCCAGGCAGGAAGUGACAAAGCAGGCAGACUCAGAAUGUAGGCAGGGACAGGCAGGAAGUCGCUCUCUUCCUCUUUCUCUCUUCUCUGGUGCCACCAUGUGAGCCUGACAAGAGAGGACUCAAGCUGCUGGCAUCCUUGAUCAGAUAAGUCUUUAUAAAUAUAUAGGAAGGAAUCCCAGUCAUUGUACCCAAUGUAAAGUCUCUGUGUAUUAUUUGGGGCCCUAACACAGUGGGCAGAACUCAACUGGAACUCGGGCAACUGGUGAAAAGAUUUAUUGUUACAAAGGACUCCCAUGAAUUAGGUUCACAGAGAUAACAUGGGAUGAGCACACUAGAGAGCCAGGCUUGUCCGACGAAGAAGCUGCUGAUGGUGGCCGUGAACAUGUUUACGUCAAGAGGACAAUUUACUCAAGUAUUACUUUCUUCAAAAACAUGUCCUGGUGGGAGCACAUAAACUGUGGAAUAAGCUUUUGUGUUCUGCACAAAGAUGCCUUCCAACACACUUGACUCAUAGAAGAUACAGGAGCUAUUGAUGAAGAUGCUGG
rnacentral:lncRNA from 1 species